rnacentral:lncRNA from 10 species
GGCUGGUCUCAAACUCCCGACCUCUAGUGAUCCACCCACCUCGCCUCCCAAAGAGCCAGGAUUACAGGCAUGAGCCACCAUGCCCGGCCUUAAAAUGUGAACAUUUUUAAAAGAUAUUUUGGAUUGUUGUUUUUAACAAAUUUACCUGAAGUGCUGCUUCUGUUCCAGCAAAAAGCCAAGGAGAACCUCCGGCCCUCAGAUCCCUGGGUUCUGCAAAGAGUCGCCAUUUCUCAGAAACUAGAUUUUGACUCUAACUGCUUUGGAUUGGAGAAGCUGACCAGCGAGCGUGUAAAAUUAAUCUUGCAUAAGUGAUGAGCUUAUAAAGAGAGCCCCAGGGGAAUGAGGCUAGCACACUGCAAAGCAUCACUUACCUAUUGCUACCUGGCCGAGUGUUGCAGGAGAAGAGAUUCUGGGGAAGGGAGGCUUCAAAGCUCCCGGAUGUCCUAUCGUUUCAAACCAUCAGAUUGGCAGAAAGAGGAAGUCUCUGCUAGUUCUUCUUGAGAAAACGGCCAACACCUUCAUGAGCAGGGAGCAAGUCACAUGGGAAUUCUACCCCCCUUGAUGAUUUCUGAAAGUUCAGUUUGGCAUUAUCUUGAUUUGGAGGUGAGGAAAGAAGAGCAGAUGGAAUGCAGGAAAUGUCCAUGAGGAUGAUACUACUUAUUGAUUAUAUUAUUACUAUAAAUGGCUUCUUAGCCAUUUGGCUAAGAUCAGGCGAUGUAUUAUUACUAUAAUGACUCAAACUGCCGGGCCCAGUGGCUCACACCUGUAAU